GAUGAACGCUGACAGAAUGCUUAACACAUGCAAGUCGACUCGAGUCUUCGGACUUGGGUGGCGGACGGGUGAGUAACGCGUAAAGAACUUGCCUCAUAGUCUGGGACAACAUCUGGAAACGGAUGCUAAUACCGGAUAUUAUGCUUUCUUCGCAUGGAGGAAGUAUGAAAGCUAUAUGCGCUAUGAGAGAGCUUUGCGUCCCAUUAGCUAGUUGGUGAGGUAACGGCCCACCAAGGCGAUGAUGGGUAGCCGGCCUGAGAGGGUGAACGGCCACAAGGGGACUGAGACACGGCCCUUACUCCUACGGGAGGCAGCAGUGGGGAAUAUUGGACAAUGGACCAAAAGUCUGAUCCAGCAAUUCUGUGUGCACGAUGACGUUUUUCGGAAUGUAAAGUGCUUUCAGUCGGGAAGAAGCAAGUGACGGUACCGACAGAAGAAGCGACGGCUAAAUACGUGCCAGCAGCCGCGGUAAUACGUAUGUCGCAAGCGUUAUCCGGAUUUAUUGGGCGUAAAGCGCGUCUAGGCGGCAAGGAAAGUCUGAUGUGAAAAUGCGGGGCUCAACUCCGUAUUGCGUUGGAAACUGCCUUACUAGAGUACUGGAGAGGUAGGCGGAACUACAAGUGUAGAGGUGAAAUUCGUAGAUAUUUGUAGGAAUGCCGAUGGGGAAGCCAGCCUACUGGACAGAUACUGACGCUAAAGCGCGAAAGCGUGGGUAGCAAACAGG
rnacentral:rRNA from 1 species